rnacentral:RNase_P_RNA from 1 species
UCUGGGUAAAUGCUGCAUAUUUAUUAUGUAGAGGAAAGUCCAUGCUUGCACUAUCUGAGAUGAUAGUAGUGUUUGUGCUUAGGGAAAAAAUAACCUAAGGCAGUUUAACUGACGGCUUGUCUUUUAUCUAAAGGUAACUAUGAUAAAGGACAUAUAAAAGUGCCACAGAGACGAGUCUAUUUAGAAAUAAAUAGAAUGAAACGAGGUAAACCCCACAAGCAAGAAACCCAAAUUAUGGUAGGGGAAUCCGUAACUAAAGAAUUUGAAUUUAGUAGGAAUGACUUAUGUCAUAGAUAAAUAUUUACCGCCUAGUAAUAGGUACAGAACAUGGCUUAUAA